rnacentral:rRNA from 1 species
GACGAACGCUGGCGGCGUGCUUAACACAUGCAAGUCGAACGGAAAGGCCCUGCUUUUGUGGGGUGCUCGAGUGGCGAACGGGUGAGUAACACGUGAGUAACCUGCCCUUGUCUUUGGGAUAACUUCAGGAAACUGGGGCUAAUACCGGAUAGGAGCUCUUGCUGCAUGGUGGGGGUUGGAAAGUUUCGGCGGUUUGGGAUGGACUCGCGGCUUAUCAGCUUGUUGGUGGGGUAGGGGCUUUCCAAGGCUUUGACGGGUAGCCGGCCUGAGAGGGUGACCGGCGACAUUGGGACUGAGAUACGACCCAGAAUCCUACGGGAGGCAGCAGUGGGGAAUAUUGCACAAUAGGCGGAAGCCUGAUGCAGCAACGCCCCGUGCGGGAUGACGGCCUUCGGGUUGUAAACAGCUUUCGCCUGUGACGAAGCGUGAGUGACGGUAAUGGGUAAAGAAGCACCGGCUAACUACGUG